UACGGAGGGUGCAAGCGUUAAUCGGAAUUACUGGGCGUAAAGCGCACGCAGGUGGUUUGUUAAGUCAGAUGGGAAAUCCCCGGGCUCAACCUGGGAACUGCCUUUGAAACUGGCAAGCUAGAGUCUUGUAGAGGGGGGUAGAAUUCCAGGUGUAGCGGUGAAAUGCGUAGAGAUCAGGAGGAAUACCGGUGGCGAAGGCGGCCCCCUGGACGAAGACUGACGCUCAGGUGCGAAAGCGUGGGGAGCAAACAGG
rnacentral:rRNA from 1 species